UGAUUUUUAUAAAUAUUAUUAUUAAUUAGAUUUUAAUGAAAAUUAAAUAAUUUGGCAGUAUUUUUUAAAAUUAGAGGAUUUUGUUAUGUAAUAGACAAUACACUUUAUAAUUUAUUUAAUUUAUUUAUUGUAUAUCGUUGUCUUUAGUUAAUUUUUAAAAAAUAUUAAUUAAUAUUAUUAAAAAUAUUUAAUAAUUUAAGUCAAAUCAAAAUGCAUAUUAUAAUUAAAAUUUAAAUGAAAUACAUUUUAAUUAUAAAUUUAUGAAUAAAAAUUUGUAAUAAUUUAUUGAAAUUGGAUUUAAAAGUAAAAUUUAAUAUAUAUUAAAUUUGAAUAUAAUUAAAAAUAUGU
rnacentral:rRNA from 1 species